rfam:Felis catus isolate Cinnamon breed Abyssinian chromosome C1, whole genome shotgun sequence.
GUCUGGCUGGUUCAGUGGGUAGAGCAUGACACUCUCGAUCUCAAGGGUGUGGGUUCGAGCCCCAUGUUGAGUA